AACGAGAUGAUGAUGAAGAUAAGAUGGAUAUCGUUGGAGGCUGGUGGUCAGUGAAGAGUUUUGGUGAGAUCACAGGAACAGUGGCCAUUGAGAUGCA